rnacentral:rRNA from 1 species
UACGAAGGGGGCAAGCGUUGUUCGGAAUUACUGGGCGUAAAGGGCGCGUAGGCGGCCUUCUAAGUCGAACGUGAAAUCCCUGGGCUCAACCCAGGAACUGCGUCCGAUACUGGAAGGCUUGAAUCCGGGAGAGGGAUGCGGAAUUCCAGGUGUAGCGGUGAAAUGCGUAGAUAUCUGGAGGAACACCGGUGGCGAAGGCGGCAUCCUGGACCGGUAUUGACGCUGAGGCGCGAAAGCCAGGGGAGCAAACGGG